GACGUAGGAUGCAAGCGUUGUCCGGAAUUAUUGGGCGUAAAGAGUUCGUAGGCGGUUACUUAAGUCUGGUGUUAAAGACGGGAGCUCAACUCCCGCAUGGCAUCGGAAACUGGGUGGCUAGAGUGUGGUAGAGGUCUCGGGAAUUCCAGGUGUAGCGGUGAAAUGCGUAGAUAUCUGGAGGAACACCGGUGGCGAAAGCGCGAGACUGGGCCAUAACUGACGCUGAGGAACGAAAGCCAGGGGAGCAAACGGG
rnacentral:rRNA from 1 species